rnacentral:tRNA from 1 species
UAGCUCAGUUGGUUAGAGCGUGGUGCUGAUAAAACCGAGGUCGCAGGUUCGAUUCCCGU